AAAGGCUCUGACAUUUCUGGGUGCCUGUCACUUUAAGACUCUUAUUAUGUGGUUGCGAUAGAGGAAGUGUUUAGUUAGCGCGUUGGAUACAGUGGUACGGAGACGAGUUCAAGUUUAAUAGCCUAGUUUAGCAUACUUACUGUGUUGUGUCGCUUCUUCAAUCUCUCCUGAAUAAUCCAGCUUCCAAUAUUCAUGUGUUAAGUUAAUGAAGAAAAGUAAGUGACUAUUUGUUGCAUUGUGUUCAUAUUUUUAUGUUAUAGAAUUUCCAUGUAUUAACGUGCUCAGCGUGAUGAGUGAGAUUAUAGCAACAAAACAAUGUUUAUGCUGUAAAACACUUUAGGAAUAAUAGGUUAACUGAAAUGAGUCUUCUGAUUUAUAAGUUCUGUAAUAACAUUCAUUAUAUUGAGUUAAAAGAGUUAAUAUCAUGCUGAGGAGACCAUGUGCGAGCUGAUGGUGUAGUAGUCUUGUCUGGCCAGAGGAUGUCGCUAUUUUCCUUUUGUAAACCAUUUUAAUACAGUUUCAUGUAUACUGGUCAGUAAAAUAGGUGAAGUUUCUUGUAUUUCUCAAAGAGUAAGUUUAUGUUAUUGUAGAUUAUGUUUAAAGGGGCAUAUUACUGUUUAUUGAGAUAUUUAUGUUUGAUGAUCCUGAUUUGUAUUAUGUUUGGAUUUAUUAUUUACGUUGCAUAGCAGCUUAAGUAAUGUAACUGUUUAAUUGGUAGUACCUAAUGGUGAUUUAUUUGCUUUUUUAUCAGACUAUAAUGACAAUACUGGAUAUUGGAAUGUUCUGAUGGGUAUUGCUGAAACUCAAUACAGUUGAGAGAAGAAAAUACAUCUCCUCGUCUUUAUUCCUGUGUCCUGACCGAUACACCAUCCUGUUUACUAGCUAUAAAACCUUGAUGAACUAGCCCAGAUUACCUCAGUAACAAAUGGUCCUUCGAGCCGGAUAGCAGUAUUCAGGAUGGAGGCUGAUGCAGAGAUGUAUCCAGAUGUGAGACCUAAACGUCAAACACGUCUACCUGUCAGACUUCAGGACUUCGAAGUGGACUAUAUGGGAUAUAGGAAACCAGAUAAGUUACAAUGGGGCCCGUCAUCCCCUGCCUUGGAUAGGAGGGUGUUCCUCACUCAGGAGGGUCCAGAUCAGAUUACCACUUUCCAGAAAGCCCACCCUCACCCUAGUGGCUUCCCUGGGAAUGCUGCUCACCAUGAGAUUCCUCAGCUAGCCCCAGACCAUAGCCAGAGGAGAGAUUCGGAUGGGUUUAUCCAACCUGCGCGAACACCCUCAUCCCAUCAGAGCCCAUACCUGGAUUCUCGUCUCUCUGAGGAGAUCAGAGCUAUUCGGGACGAGAAUACUAAGCUGCUCCAAACACAACAGGCCUUCCAGACUGGCAUAAAUGAACUUAAUGAAGCACGGCGCGAGAUGAAAGAGCUACUGGAGGUAGCUCGCUCCCUUAGAGAAGACCUGGCCCAAGUUAAUAGCCCAGCCUCAAAAUACAGUAACCUCACAUCUCCCCAAGCCGGUGCUGUUGCCUCAAGGAGUUCCGCUGAUGCAGCACAGUCUAAGGAAUUGGAGCAGGAGGACUGGCCUGAUCCUCCACCCUGGCCUGAACCUGACGAGGACCUGUCGGAAGGCAUGCGCCAUCUCAGAGUUGACAGACAAGAAACAGAUAGUCACAAGAUCGACUUUUCUCCUGAAACUAGAGUUUAUAUGCCUCGUAAACCUCUACUGCCUCCUCAGUAUCCCACUUCAGCUUCAAAUAAAGGGAUAUCACCAUACCUCUCUACACAACCCUCUAAGUUGCUCACUCACCCUGCGCCAGCUCAUGCCCCUGUAAAGCAAUCAGCGCCUGCCCAAGCCUACCAUCCCUUAGCAGCCACUGGAGCAGUACAUGGUAUGCCGCCACUUAAUCAGUUUAUGCAACUGCCGGGAAAUGAACAAGUGUAUCGAGGGCCGCAACCCACAAUCCCAAAGUUCAUUCACUCUGAUCCCAGUGAGUUUGCCCGGCUUCGCAUAGCUCUAGAAAACCUACUCCCAUCUAAUGCUACAGAGCUCUUCAAGUAUCAAAUACUUGUGGAUCACUUAAAGCUGGAGGAAGCUAAACUUAUAGCUGAUGCUUACCUAAAUUCACCAACCCCCUAUAGUGACACUAUGUCAGCCCUCCAUGAUAAAUUUGGGCAGCCUCAUCAACUUGCCUUAAAGAAGAUAGCAAGUGUGCUAGAGACCCCCGAAGUAAGGCGCGGUGAUACUAUAGCAUUCCAGAAGUUCUCUCUCCAGAUACAAUCAUUAGUGGGCUUGUUGCAGACUCUUGGUCCUGAAGGGGGAAUCGAACUCAACUGUGGCUCCCAUGUUGCUCGUCUCCUGGGUAAGCUUCCCCCUGAACAGCGAGCUGAUUUCCGUCGACAUCAGUUCAAGCAGUUAGGGGCGACCCACACUCUACAUGAUUUUGCAGAAUGGCUUCGGUAUGAAUCAUGGUGUCAGGGCUUCGACAGUCAGGCUACUGGCCGCAGCAUAAAGGAAAGGCAGAACCUAAAGACUGAUGGUCGUCCCGGGAGGCAAGCGGUGACCGUUCUACAUGGAUCUGGUGAAUCUGCAGAGACAGCCUCUUCGUACCAUAAAGAGAGUUCAGCCAACCGAGGGUCAAAGAGUAAAGCCUACUGUGCCUACUGUGAGAGUACUGAACAUUAUCUUAGUCAAUGUAGUGCUGUUGCCAGACUCACCAAAGACCAGCUUAAAGAGUGGAUACAGGUUAACAAGCGGUGCUGGCGCUGUGCACGAACUCAUCGCGCCGCUCAGUGCACAUUGAAGAAACCUUGCAACAUCUGUCAGGGAAAACACCUACUGGCUCUUCACGAGAUAAAUACAAGGCCAGCCAAUAAAGAUGUAGCUGUUAAAGAAGAGAGCUGCUUAACCAGCUCUGCGGCUGACUCACUCUUCCUGGAUAGACCUGGAGCUGGGAAUCGUGUCAUGUUAAAGGUCGUCCCUGUUCUUGUACAUUAUGAGGACCGGACACUUGACACCUUUGCGAUCCUUGAUGAUGGGUCCGAGAGGACCAUGUUGUUGCCAGCUGCAGCUACGUUUCUUGGUUUGAAGGGCACUCCUGAAGCGCUUCCUUUGCGUACAGUCCGACAAGACAUUCAGAUUCUCCAAGGCCACACGGUGUCUUUCCGCGUCUCACCAGCUGAGAACCCUCACACCAGCUAUAAGAUCAAUGGUGCCUUCACAGCUGGCCGCCUCAGCCUAGCACAGCAUACUUACCCUAUUGACCGCCUGAAGAGGAAAUACAAAUACCUAAGUGGCAUUCCCCUACCUGCCUUGAGAGAUGCUCAGCCAACACUCCUUGUAGGAUCUGACAACCCUCAGUUGAUAACACCUAUCGAGCCAGUCAGACUUGGUCCACCAGGUGGUCCGGCCGCAGUCCGCACCAAGCUUGGGUGGACUCUUCAGGGCCCUACCCCAUUCAUGGGGCGGCCAAUUCAGCCUGCACAGUGUUUGUUUACUUCAUCUACGGCACCAAUGGAUGAGCUUUACCGGCAUGUUGAGAGGCUCUGGCAAGUAGACACUGUACCAUACCGGCACGAAAGAGAGGUGACUCGGUCAAAGCAGGAUCAGCAGGCUGUAACAUUGCUUGAAGCCAAGACUGUCCGUACUAAUGUAGAUGGAAUUCUUAGGUAUGCCACACCAUUGUUGCGCCAUGCAAGCAUGCCACUUUUGCACUCACCCAAGGAAUCAGUUAUGCCCAUGUUACGUAGUACUGAGAGGCGACUCUCAAAAGACCCCAAGUUAGCAGAUGCAUACAGGAAGGAAAUGCAGAAGCUCAUUGAGGCAGGUGCUGUGAGGGAAGUCACUGAGGAUGACUCUGCCAAAGAAGGAUGGUACAUCUCACAUCAUCUAGUCAGCCACAAUGGAAAGAAUCGCCUGGUCUUUAACUGCUCUCACCAGUACCUUGGGCAGACCCUGAACCAGUAUUUGCUACCUGGCCCUACUUUGGGUGCCUCCUUGCUGGGAGUCCUGCUGAGAUUUCGUGAACAUCCCAUAGCGGUUAGUGGAGACAUCAAAGGGAUGUUCCAUCAAGUCCGCCUCAUCCCUGAAGAUCGCCGCCUUCUAAGGUUCCUGUGGCGGGACCUGAAGGUGGAAGAGCCCCCAAGAACAUUCGAGUGGCAAGUUUUGCCCUUCGGCGCCACCUGCAGCCCAUGCUGUGCAACAUACGCCCUGCAGCGCCAUGUUGUUGACCACUGCCAGCCGGACGAUGAUCUGAGAUUCUCGGUUGAGAACUGUUUUUACGUAGAUAACUGCCUACAGAGCAUAGGUACACCGGCUGAAGCCAAACUGCUGGUGGAUCGACUUAGGGAUCUUCUGAUGUCUGCAGGUUUUGAGUUGCGUCAAUGGGCUUGCAACGAUUUGAGCGUCCUGAGUCACUUGCCUCAAGAGGCAAGAUCUGAAAGUCUGGACCUGUGGCUGGCCCAGGAUAAGUCCAACCCUCUGGAGUCAACACUCGGUCUCAGUUGGAAUUGGAUAACCGACUCCUUGGGCUACAAACAUAGGCCUGUUUCCUAUGAGGAACCAACCCUGAGGAACAUUUACAGAGUCCUAGCUACUCAAUACGAUCCCCUGGGUUACAUGUUACCUUUCUCCACCCGAGCAAAGCUCAUUAUUAGGCAGCUGUGGGAAAAGAAGCGAGGUUGGGAUGAUUCAAACUUACCCGUUGACCUCCUGCAAGCCUGGUCCAGCUGGGAGGCUGAACUUGAGUCCUUACCUUUCCUUAGAUUCCCACGUGCAUAUGUUCUGGCAGAAGCCAACAUUGGGAAUGCCUGCCGUGAGCUGCACAUCUUCGCAGAUGCCUCUGAGCAAGCUUAUGGAGCUGUAGCCUACAUGAGAACUGAGGACAAGGAAGGCCAGAUCCAUCUGUCUUUCAUCCUGGCUCGUUCACGAGUAGCUCCAAGACGUCUGCAUUCUAUCCCACGCCUGGAGCUAUGUGGGGCUCUGGUUGCUGCGCAGCUGGCUCGUGUUCUCGAGAGGGAACUUACUUUGACAGUGGCACGAACUGUGUUGUGGUCAGACUCCACUACCGUACUAACCUGGCUACACUCCCAGUCUUGCCGAUACAAGGUCUUUGUGGGCGCCAGAAUAGCUGAGAUACAGGAGUUAACCGAGAAGUGCACUUGGCGUUACUUGGACUCUGUGAAUAAUCCUGCUGAUGAUCUGACGAGGGGGAAGUCCCUGAAGGCCCUAAUAGAACCCAACCGAUGGUCUCAGGGACCUGCCUUCCUUCUUCAGCACCCAGCCACCUGGCCAGAAAGACCCAACAACGAGCCAUAUGAGGACAAAGCAGAACUCCGCAAGACUACCUUCUGUGGAGCAACGAUUACCUCACCAAUGUCGAUCGGAGGGGAUGACAAGAUGUACCAAACUUGGCAGGAGCUUAUGGAUGCCACUGCUCAAGGAAUCCUAGGACAAACCCCUCUCGGUUCACCGCCUAAUGCUGAAGAGUACCAACGUGCAGAGAUGAUUGUUCUCCAGCGAGCCCAACAACAGUCAUUUCCAGAGGACUACAAACUCCUUGCAGCAGGGAAACCUGUCUCACCUGGGAGUCGAUUACUCACCUUGGCACCGGAGAUGGAUCAAUCUAUGGACCUCAUAAGAGUAGGUGGUCGGCUACGACGUUUGGAAGGUCAAGACGACUUGACAUUGCACCCUGUGGUUCUGGAUGCCUCACACCCAGUUACACGCUUGCUUAUCCAAAGGUACGAUAGCAACCUGCACCAUCCUGGUCCAGAGCGAGUCUUUGCAGAGAUACGGCGGUCAUUCUGGAUCAUCCAUGGAAGGGAGGCGAUUCGUAGAUACCAGCGUUCUUGUGCAGAAUGUCAGCGUUGGAGAGCUAAACCUUCCAUUCCACGAAUGGCGGACCUUCCCAUUGCUCGUCUCCGAUUACACAAACCAGCCUUUCACUCCACUGGCGUGGAUUGUUUUGGGCCCAUGUUGGUAAAGAUGGGUAGACGUCAGGAGAAACGCUGGGGGAUAAUAUUUAAGUGUUUAACAACCAGGGCAGUACACUUGGAUAUCCUCAGAAACAUGGAUGCGGAUGCUUACUUGAUGGCCCUAAGACGGUUCAUAGCCAGAAGGGGAACACCUGCAGAGUUGUUGUCAGACCAGGGGACCAAUUUUAAAGGAGGAGAACGGGAGCUUAGAGAGGCUUAUGCCAGUAUGGAGCCAACCUUGCAGAAACAACUCGCACGUCAGAGGAUUAAGUUCCAGUUUAACCCCCCGGCAGCGCCACACUUUGGUGGAGUGUGGGAGAGAGAGGUCCGCUCCGUCAAAUCUGCCCUUUAUACCUGUGUGGGGGCCCAACCGGUUCAUGAAGACGUCCUUCUCACCGUUCUCCUGGAAGUUGAGGCAAUUCUCAACUCCAAACCAUUAGGUUAUGUAUCUGCCGACAUUGCGGAUAUCGACCCUGUGACACCCAAUAGUCUGCUUAUGGGGCGGCCUGAUGGAUCUCUUCCACAAGUGGUCUAUCCUGAGACAGAGAUCCUGAGCCGCAAGCGCUGGAGGCAUUCACAAGUUCUCGCUGACGAGUUCUGGUCCAGAUACAUCAGAGAAUAUCUUCCUGGUCUGCAGACCAGACAGAAAUGGCACUCCUUUUCUCCUGAACUACUGGAUAAGGCUGUUGUCAUGUUGGUGGACCCGCAACUACCUCGAGCUUUGUGGCCCAUUGGGCAUGUAACUAAGAUUCACCGCAGCGACGAUGGAUGCAUUAGAUCUGCUGAUGUGAACAUUAAAGGACAUGUGUACACUCGACCUGUAGCUAGGUUGGUGAUGUUGCCGGCUCUCCCAUCGGGGGAGGCCGACACCUCUGGGAGCCCCCCUCAGCCUGAUUGAUGAGCCUUUAGUGGAUGCAAAUGUGCUCACACAUUUGGGGGCGGCUGUAUAAAAGGCUCUGACAUUUCUGGGUGCCUGUCACUUUAAGACUCUUAUUAUGUGGUUGCGAUAGAGGAAGUGUUUAGUUAGCGCGUUGGAUACAGUGGUACGGAGACGAGUUCAAGUUUAAUAGCCUAGUUUAGCAUACUUACUGUGUUGUGUCGCUUCUUCAAUCUCUCCUGAAUAAUCCAGCUUCCAAUAUUCAUGUGUUAAGUUAAUGAAGAAAAACUAUAAUGACAAUACUGGAUAUUGGAAUGUUCUGAUGGGUAUUGCUGAAACUCAAUACAGUUGAGAGAAGAAAAUACAUCUCCUCGUCUUUAUUCCUGUGUCCUGACCGAUACACCAUCCUGUUUACUAGCUAUAAAACCUUGAUGAACUAGCCCAGAUUACCUCAG